UCUCUUAAAAAGGCCAGCGACGGCGCACCCCUCCCUGGGCUCCCUCUUGAUCUCUCUCAAAACCAGACCCCCCAUUUUUGGAAACCGAUUUUCAGCUAAAAAUGGCUGCUUCAAAAACUUCUACUCUCUCUCGCUGAAGAAAAAACGGACUCUCAUCUUCACACAAACGGACCCCCACCCUUGAAAAAACGUAGCAGCUGCUAAGAAAAUGGCAGUACUAGCGAGAGAAGAAGAGAAGCUUUAAGCUCCAGCCGCACCACCCCAUCUCCGCCCCGUACACUUUCACUGAUUAGAAGCAAAAAUUUCGAACAUUAAAAAAACAAAGACUAGAAAAGACAGAGAUCUAACUCGCAAAAAAGCUUCAAACAAGAGGAGUGAAAGGGAUCUGGGUAGCCACUUCAAUUUUUGCUGGUUUUGCACUACUUUUUUUUGAAACUUUUAAGGUUUAAUCGGACUGGAAUCAUCUUAUUUCUGCUGCUGUGUUACUUGAAUUCGUUGCUGAGCUUCAAACCCGCUGAUUCUAGCUUUAUUUGGCUUUCUUCUCUUCUAAAUUUGAACUUUGUGCAACGAGGUAUGUUCUCCACAAAAUUGUUCUUAGAUCUGUUUUGUUAUGGAAUCAUUGUUGUUGUUUAGUUCGUUUGUUGCUCUUAUAUGAAUUUAUUUGUUAGAUUUAAUUUCACACAAUGAGUGGAAUGUUACUAAACGCAAUUUUUCUUCAAAAGCUCUCUGUGUGCUUCAAGGAUUGUUUUCCCAAAUUUGCCCAGUAAUUGGAGAUUGUGCGUGGAUCUAAGUGUUAAAAUGGAGCAAGGUUUUGGUUCAGACUCUUUUCCACUAGCAGGGUCCAUUGACAAGUCUAAGGUUUUAGACGUUAAGUCUAUGAGAUGUCUUAUGCUUGUUUUUCCAUCUCCAUGUUUGAAUCAGUUAAUUAAGAGAAAAAUAUUCAAGCCUGUUGGAUGUGGUUUCCUACUAUCACUUAAGGUUGAAAUCAGAAUCCAUGUCUAAUUAAUUGGAUCAUGUUAUCAUUUCUGGGCACUUCGACUAUUACGAUUGUAAAUUCUUUAAGAUUCUUGUACCUAUAACUCUAACAACAGAUAGAUUCCAUAAAUUCUGGGCCUUUCAAUAAUCA